rnacentral:rRNA from 1 species
UACGGAGGGUGCAAGCGUUAUCCGGAUUCACUGGGUUUAAAGGGUGCGUAGGCGGGCAGGUAAGUCCGUGGUGAAAUCUCUGAGCUUAACUCAGAAACUGCCAUGGAUACUAUUUGUCUUGAAUGUUGUGGAGGUGAGCGGAAUAUGUCAUGUAGCGGUGAAAUGCUUAGAUAUGACAUAGAACACCAAUUGCGAAGGCAGCUCACUACACAAAUAUUGACGCUGAGGCACGAAAAGCGUGGGGAGUCAAACAGGA